AUACUUACCUAUAGGAGAAAUACCAUGCUCAUGAAGGUGGUUUUCCUAGGGUGAGGCUUCACCAUUGCACCUCGUUGGGGUUGACUCCUAUGAUUUCACCAAAUGUGGAAACAUCAACUGCAUAAUUUAUGCUAGUGGGGAACUGCAUUCACACUAUUUUAG